rnacentral:lncRNA from 1 species
UCGUUUCGCUCGGCGUGUCUGCGCCCCGAUGGGCGAACAAGCAAUGUGUCAUUGACGUUUUUAUCUAGAAGGGGUCGGAAACCCCAUUAUCGUGUCUCGGGAAAAUCCAUAACAAUGAGUGCAUUAUUUCUGGUGCAGACAUACGGCGGGAUGUCUCAGAAGACGGGCGCCAGGUACGAGACGAGUUAUCAAUGUACAAACAGACGUUAUCGUGAUGCGAACGCGGUCCUGUAUCGUCCGCGUCGUGGAAUGAGAACGGAAGAAGUAGAGAAGAUAGAAAAAUAAAAAGAAAAAGUUCGAUCUUCGUGGGAGGCUGCGCAGCGCGUAAAGAUAAACAUCCAUACGCAAGAAUAACAUCUUCCGGAUCCCUCUAAUCACAACACUCGGAGGAUACCCCGUACAUAAGCGAAGUACACGUAGGAAAACACUUUUGAUAGAGCCAUCGGAAAAUGAGAGAAUGAUGAGAGAACGGCCUAGUAAUUCAUCAAGGGAGAUCAUUCGCGAAAACAGAGCAUUAUUAUCGAAAAGAUUAUUAUAUAAAAAACAUCAUUAUUUGCAGUAAUUUUAAAUUACUUAAAAAUUACUAUAAAAUACUAAUUAAAUGUUUUAUUAAUAUUAUAUGUAAUAAUAUCGGUUCUCUUUCAUAAAUAAUUGAAUCAAUUGAAUAUUUUCAUAAAUACGUAAUUUUAUUCAGAUUAUUUUGAUACAUUCCACGCUGUUCUACAACGUUUCGCAAUAUAAUCGAAAAUAGAAUAACUUGAGCUACGCUCGAUUCUAAUGGCACUUCGAGUUCGCUAAAGAAGAUAGUGUUACAUCGUAUACGCGUUACAUAGUAUUGUGAAUGUUUUAGAUUAAAUUUAUUUUUUGAUUAAUAACUCGAAAUAUUCAGAAAACGCCUUUUUCAUUUUCCACAUUAUACGAAUAAAUAGAUAAAACGAUUAAGAUUUACAUAAAAUUUUAUUAGAGAUUAUUUAAUAAAUUUGCUUUAUAAACGAUCGAUGAAUUGAAAGAACUAAUAGAAAUUUAUGCUGCUAAAUUAUCAAUUUUCUUCGAAAUUUCUUCGAAAUCAAGGAUUAAUUAAAAAUAUUACUUUAGAUUACUUACUUUAGAAUGUUAUUUCUUUUUUAAUUCUUUUAACAUUAAAUAAUUUAUUUUUUAAGACAAAAGUGAAUAAGAAGCGUAUAAGAUAAAUGCUUUUGCACUAGGAAUUGAAUUAUACUAUUAAUCCCUGAUAUUCAAAACAAAAAAAAAAGAGAUAAAAAACAGUUCCGCUAUAUUUCAGUCAACACAUAUCUUUAAAAUUUUUCGGUUUCGAAAAUAAAGAAUGUAAUGAUGGAAUGUGUAAAUUCCAUUGUAUUUGAAUAAUACAUAUCUUUGAAAUUUUUCGAUUUCAAAAAUAAAGAAUGUAACUUGACGGAAUGCAUAAAUUUCUGUUAAUCUUCCCUUUAACCAGUUAUUUUUAAUAAAAAAUGCGGAAUUAUCUUAACAAAACAACUGAGAUAAAUUUUAUGAAUUUUAUGUAUCAUUUCAUCUUAUAUGGAGGCACAUGUGAGAUUUGCGAUGCGGAUUGAUACUGAACAAGUUCGGAUAGGUCUGAUACUUACCGAACAAGUUCGGAUGGAUUUACCUUGUCGCAACAAUAACUUAUUAUUUCGAGGUCGGAACGAGUUUAGCAGAAAUUAAUUUCUAUCGGUUUGCGUGAAGUAAAACGGAUAACGAUUGCUCAUUACGGAGCUGCAACACUAUAUUAUACAGUCUAAACCUCUGUUACGAUGUAAAGUUUUAAUCAAUCCACGUGAAGAAGUUAGUAUUGCGAAAUUUAUUCGGUCGACUUCUACAAAAAGUUAUACAAAAUAUGACACGGUAUCUGCUUACGAUAUGCUUAGAGUGUGUUAUCACUCGUAAAACUACGUCUACGUAUUUAUUGCCAGUUGGGAAAUAUAUUGGUAGGAAUAUCUGCCGUAAUAAACCGCAGAAUAUCCGUAAAAAUAUCUAUGUGUAAACAGUAACCGACGAAGACGCGACGAUAUAGGUGGAUAAAUAAACUUGUAUGUAUAAACUUGCAACUAUAUAAUAGUCUAAGUGUGAUUCAAAGGCAGAACAUUGCAAAAUAGACUCUUUUACCCAGAGUGAUAAAAUUCGUAGCUCUUAAAUAUCUUGAAUUAACAUCUCAGCUAAGAUUUUUAAUUUAUAUGUUUUUUCGUAGCACACCGUGAUCAAAUUGUUGUUUAAAAACUUAUUUUUUGGCAAAAUCGUACAAUAAUGAGGUAACUGUGCCAAUCAGCAACAUACUUAUAAAAUUCAUUUACAUAAUGUAGCACCUUAUCUCUCGCGCGCGACAAUUGAUGAUGAUAAAAAAUUUGUAAGUACCUUCAAAAUUUUCUUAAAUUUACGAAACCUAGUUAUAAUUUAUAAAUAUACGAAUAAAUAUACGAAAAACGACUAAGAAAAAAAUAACAUAGCUGCUAUCGAAUACGAAAUCAAAAUAAAACUACAUAAAAAUAUGGAAUAUAUGUAUUCAACAGAAUAGUUUAGUUUAGUACCUAGUUCGAAAAUUACAUAUUGUGCAUAACUUUCCGUGUAAAUAUUCAGAAUUAUGUGUGCAUGAUUAAGAAUAAAUAGAAGAGAAAGAAGCUUGAAAAAGAUAUUAAAAAGUAUUUUCAUAUGUAAUCUAUCAAUAUUCAUCAAAUCUGUAUACCCGUGCUUAAUUGAAAAAUAUAAACAGGUAUGUUAUUGGAAUACUGGUAUGUUAUAGGAAGUUUAAUAUACACGUUAUGUUUUUUCGUGUUAUGUGCCGAAAGUAUAUUUUCAUGAUGAUUGUCGAGCAAGCUUAUCUGUACUAAUGAGCAAGCUUAUCUGUACUAAUGAGCAGUGGAUAAGAUACCGCGAUGCGGUAAGAUAACAGAUGAAAUAUAAGAAAGAUUAACGUUAAUCAUUCGCGGUCCAAAUUCUCAAAGAUGAGCGAGGAUUUUAUCUUCAAUUUAAUUUAAUUUAAUUUAAUGUGUAACAUUCAACUUAUAUUAAUUGGUGAAAUUUAUAGAUAUAAAAAUAUGUAGCUUGUAAAAAAUGUAAUCGUUCAAAAGUUUGGAAAACUAUGCCGCAGAUUGCUACAAAGUACUAUAUUGAAUCUGUACCGACGGUAAUUACGGUAAAGGAUCAGGCUAGCGAAGACUAAAGUAAAAAGGGAAAGAUGCAAAAUGCAAGAAAGGAAAAGGCAAAGUAACAAAGAACAGCGAUUGUAUAGAUUGAAAAUAUAACAUUUGUCAUGUAACAAGAAAACUUGUACGCCACAUAUGCAAUUGCACGAAAUAAUAUAAAAAUAUAAUUUUGUGAAAUCA